rnacentral:rRNA from 1 species
AACGAACGCUGGCGGCAUGCCUAACACAUGCAAGUCGAACGAGAUCUUCGGGUCUAGUGGCGCACGGGUGCGUAACGCGUGGGAAUCUGCCCUUUGGUUCGGAAUAACAGUUGGAAACGACUGCUAAUACCGGAUGAUGACGAAAGUCCAAAGAUUUAUCGCCAGAGGAUGAGCCCGGGUAGGAUUAGCUAGUUGGUGUGGUAAAGGCGCACCAAGGCGACGAUCCUUAGCUGGUCUGGGAGGAUGAUCAGCCACACUGGGACUGAGACACGGCCCAGACUCCUACGGGAGGCAGCAGUGGGGAAUAUUGGACAAUGGGCGAAAGCCUGAUCCAGCAAUGCCGCGUGAGUGAUGAAGGCCUUAGGGUUGUAAAGCUCUUUUACCCGGGAUGAUAAUGACAGUACCGGGAGAAUAAUCUCCGGCUAACUCCGUGCCAGCGGCCGCCGUAA